UCAGAGGGUCGGGCGGCCGCGGCCCCGUUGUAAGGACGGGGGCGAGGAAAGUCCGGGCUCCACGGAAUGAAGGUGCCGGGUAACGCCCGGCGGGGUCAGGGAGCGAUUUCUGGCCUCAGGGACAGUGCCACAGAGAGCAGACCGCCUCCUGCGCAAGCAUGAGGUAAGGGUGAAAGGGUGCGGUAAGAGCGCACCGCGGGACUGGCAACAGGACCGGCAUGGUAAACCCCACCUGGAGCAAGACCGAAUAGGGGUGGCAUAUGGCUGAUUCCGGCCCGCCGCCCGGGUUGGUUGCUUGAGGCGCGGAGCAAUCCGCGUCCUAGAGGAAUGGUCGCCGAACCCCGCAAGGGGGGAACAAAACCCGGCUUAUAGGCCCUCUGACAAU
rnacentral:RNase_P_RNA from 1 species